GUUGGGGCAAUAGCUCAGUUGGUAGAGUGUUUGCCUAGCAUGCACAAAGUGCCCUGGGUUCGAUCCCCAGCACCAACA
rnacentral:tRNA from 1 species